rnacentral:rRNA from 1 species
GGCGACGAUCAGUAGCUGGUCUGAGAGGAUGAUCAGCCACAUUGGGACUGAGACACGGCCCAAACUCCUACGGGAGGCAGCAGUGGGGAAUAUUGGACAAUGGGCGCAAGCCUGAUCCAGCCAUGCCGCGUGAGUGAUGAAGGCCUUAGGGUUGUAAAGCUCUUUUGUCCGGGAAGAUAAUGACUGUACCGGAAGAAUAAGCCCCGGCUAACUUCGUGCCAGCAGCCGCGGUAAUACGAAGGGGGCUAGCGUUGCUCGGAAUCACUGGGCGUAAAGGGCGCGUAGGCGGACUCUUAAGUCGGGGGUGAAAGCCCAGGGCUCAACCCUGGAAUUGCCUUCGAUACUGGGAGUCUUGAGUUCGGAAGAGGUUGGUGGAACUGCGAGUGUAGAGGUGAAAUUCGUAGAUAUUCGCAAGAACACCAGUGGCGAAGGCGGCCAACUGGUCCGAUACUGACGCUGAGGCGCGAAAGCGUGGGGAGCAAACAGGAUUAGAUAC